ACCUCAAUCCCUUCCCCAGCCGGUGCUUCCCGAGCAUCUCUGCACACACAGAGGAUUCCAUCAGGAACUCUCUCCUCUCUGCUGCUGGAGGAGAAUCCUUCCCCUGGGAUUACCUCCAGUGAAGCUGAGGAGAUCAAGGUCAUCUAAAGAGCUUAUUCUCUCUUUUCCCUCACUUGGAAGAAGAAUGUGAGGUAACUUCUCCAGCACAGGAUUCACUUGCACAGGGUGCUGGAGAAUCCCUUUUGCAGUCCUAAAUUCAGGGCAGAGACAGCACCAAAAGUCAUGGAGCAGAUGGAAGAGGAAAUUCCCUGGAGCUGGCAGGGCAGGGUGAAGUGGAAUUUUCUACCCCACUGCUGAGGGUUGUUUCAAUAUAGUGCUGCUGUGUUUGGCUCAGAAUGGGCCAUGCUCCACAGACAGAAGAUAAAAGGAGCAGAUUUUCUGCUCCACAUCUCUUCAGAGUGUGGAUCUCUCAGAGUUCCAGAUCUCUUCAGAGCCUUCAGCCUUCUUGGAGCCUGGCCUCAGGCCACUGCACUGUGCUGCUCCAGCUGCACUGUCCAGCCAGCAGAAGGACAGAGAGGGGAGGAACCACGGGGCACUGACUGGAGCACUUGCUUGGCAGCAGGAUGCCGAGUGCCUCGGCCAGGAUCAGCAGAUGUUUGAAUUUCCCCAAAGCUGAAAGAAGCUGUGGAUCUGUAAAAAUAAGCUUCUCGAAGCUGGCGUGUUUCUGCUCAAAAUGGACUGGGUCUGAUUUGCUGUUUGAGUAAAACCAGAGGGAUGGAAAUUUGUAUUUCUGGUUUUUUUCCUUUUUGUCUUGACUGGAAGUUUUAUAGUUCUUUAUCUUAAAUGUUCCUAAGGGUUCAGUUAAGUUGUCUGGUUAUAAACCAGGUGUUUAUCUGAGAGCAUUUUGUGGGUGACAAAUACAAUAUAAAGCUGUUAUAGAUCUUUUCCUUCUGCUCCUUAAACAGGAAUACAACCUGUGUGACACCACAGGACAGCUGAGUGACAAUGCAGGUGAGAACCCUGAUAUUCCACGAGGAAAUGGGUGGAGAGUGGGAUGGAUGCUGGGAGAAAAUCCUUCCCAUCUGAUCACCUUGGCAGGUGUAGUGACCAAAUGGUUUGGGUUUUGCUGGGCUUGGUUUUAGUUAUUUUUAGGACACAGCUGCUUUAAACUUUAAUUUUUUGCCAAUGAUGACUUCUUUUUAGGGAGGAAAAAAAAAAAAAAAGGAGUAAUAUUGAGAUUAGAAUUAACAAAACAUGAGGAAAGAGAAAUCAAUAUUAAUAUAAGCAUCAGAACAUUUUAAUUUUGGCAUUUGAAGGAAUAAUGGGAAUUGUUGAUCAGAAACACCAUCUGCCAAGGCAGUCUCCCUCAGCUGGUUAUGGCAAAUUGAGCAACGGUAAAUUAUUCCUUACAUUUAUUUCUGGUUCUGGAAAGAAUCCCACAAAUUAUUCUUUUGUAGAGAUUAUUCAUCAAUUUCUCCAAGCCAUUCCUGCCUUUUCUUACCCCCCAGAAUUCCGUGUAGUAGGAAUGGACUGGAGCAGAUUUGUUUUCCAGAGCUGGGGGAGGAUCCUGUGGCCUGUGAGGGGAUAUGGGGAUGGAAAUGGAGCUUUGGGCAGAGCAGCUUUGGGGUAAAAUCCAAAAAGUGUCCCUGUGCUGAUUGCCAGGGGUGUCACUUUGCAGUGGAGACUCUUUAGGAAAGCAGCAAUGCUCAAAUUUGGACUGCAGUGUUCUCCUUUUGGGAGUUUUGCUCAGGAACUGAUGCAAAUUUAUGGGGGAGAGAUCCUAAUAAUCACUUGAAGGAGCAGAGUGAGGAGCUGUGUGCUGGCACUUCUCUCAUGUUGUGCUCCCAUCUUUUCUGGGGAGAGCUGGGUUUUCCUAGAGCCUCAAAUUGCAGUUUUAGGCUCUUACAAAGAUUAGAGCUAUUUUUUUUUCUUUUUUUAAAAAAAGAAAUAUGAAUUACUGAUACUAUUUUCUGCAGAUUUUUUUCAGAUCAGAGGAUUGGAUUUGGUUAAAAAUGUUGCCCCAUAUGCCUGGGGUGGGGGUGAUGAAAUAUAGACUCUCCAGUAUUUUCGAGGCCAAUUAAUUUUUUAAUUAACUGAAGUAUACUUGAAAAUAUAAAACAUUCAUUUGUGGAAGUUGGUCUGUUUCCAGUUAUUGCUGGAUUCAUUUGGCAAGUCAUGUUUUUUAAAGUAGAAAAUGAAAUUUCUAGCGCAGAAUGAUAAAUUGUUUCCCUUCCAUGGAAGUCUUUAAACUACUUCUUUUUUACUUUAGAUUUUGUUAUAAUUUGUUGUGUUUAGAUUGGCACCAUCUCCACCAUUUCAAUUAAAAAGUGUAAUUAAUUUGAAAUAAGAUUUCAUUAUGGUUUUCAGAGCUCUGUUCCAAAUAACUUCUAAUUUCUAUCAGUUUCUUAAGCAUUUUUCUUUAAUGUCCCUUGGUUUGACUCCUGCAAAACAACCAGGCCCAUCCCCACCAGGAAUGUGCCAGCAACACUCACUGCCUGAAGUAGAAAUAAUAUCAAAGUAUUUAGUGAUGUUCCAGUUCCCUUGUAAAUUGAAAUAAUAAUGAAAAUGUUUUGCAAUUUGCAAAUGUUCCUAUAUUUUUUUUUUCUAGAAUUUGCUGUAUACAUAUAUUGUCACUGAUGUAGGAAAAAAGUGGUUUAACUCAUGCUUACCAAAAUUAAUGUCAAAACUAAUUGACCUUCAUAGGCAGAUAAUUUUAUGCUCCUUUGAAUGUGGUCUGUCUGAUCACCCCAUGAAUAUUGCAUUCAUUUCACUUUCCAGAAGUUACUUUUUCCCCCCCUAUAGAAACUCCUACAGUGACUUCACAGAAUAAAGAGGAGAAUGAUGGAAAUCUUGAUGUUUCCAUCCCUUUUUGUGGUUGUAGAGUUGAUGCUGAGCUGUGUGAAACUCACGGUGCAGUGAAAAAACGGGGAGGCUUCCACUUGGAAAAGGGGUGGUGUAAAAAGGGAAAUUAUUUAAUGUGGAGAGUGGUUUAUUUCCUUCUUAGAGAUUUUGAUGUGUGGAAAAGGGAAGGAAAGGAAAGGAAAAAGGAAAGGAAAGGAAAAAGGAAAGGAAAGGAAAAAA